GGCCUGGAGCCUGCCUUGGAUUCUGGGUCUCCCUCUCUGCCCCUCCCCCGCUCAAACUCGGUCUCUCUCUGUCUCUCAAAAAUAAAUAAACGUUAAAAAACUAUUUCAAAACAAGGUUCGGAGGAACCCCAGCCUCAUGGGUGGCUGGCUGUGAGGACAUAAAGUUCAUGAAGGGUGUGAGUUCUGAUCAUGCCAGGAAGUUCACAAAUAUUUGCCAUUGCUGUCAUCAUUAUUCUCCGCCUCUGUUUCCCAACGGACCCUGUUUAGUUCUCCACGAAUGUCCUCCCGAUUCUGCAGGAACCUUUGCGUCUGUGGGCACCGUGAGAAGCCUUAAGUGUUUUGGCAACAGUGUCUGGCUGCCCCAGCCACAUUGGCCUCCUAGGUGGUCCUCCAGCAUGCACUUUCCUGCCUCAGGGCCAUUGCCCUGGCUGUUCCCUCUGCCUCGAGGGCUGUGCCUCAGCACACAGGGCUGGCUCCCUCAUCUCCUUUCAGUGCUGCCAACUUCUCAGCCCGUCGUGACCGAGGAACAGAAAGGAGACCCAACAGACGGCACUGACAGGGCCAGUCAUCGUGCAAGCGAAAACGAACACCCACUAGAGGGUGGGGCUUUGCGUCUGGACAGGCAUUUGCCCCUUAGACAUCACAAUGAGCCCGAGAGGCCGGGACCACCAAGACCUCUGUACUGAGUUGGAUCGUGUCCUCCCCAAAUUCGUGUUCUAAACCUCAGGACGUGACCUUCUUUGGAAAUUGGGGUGUUGCAGAUGUAAUUAGUGAAGACGAGGUCAGACUGGAGUAAAUCCCUGGACCCUAAAUGCAA